GACGAACGCUGGCGGCGUGCCUAACACAUGCAAGUCGAGCGGAGUCGAUCGACGGAAGCCUUCGGGCGGAAGAUGGUUGACUUAGCGGCGGAUGGGUGAGUAACGCGUGGGCAACCUGCCUCGAAGACCGGGAUAACAGCCCGAAAGGGCUGCUAAUACCGGAUGUGGUCAAGGAUCCGCAUGGAUUUUUGAUUAAAGGGGAAACCCGUUUCGAGAUGGGCCCGCGUCCUAUCAGCUAGUUGGUGAGGUAAAAGCUCACCAAGGCGACGAUCUGUAGCUGGUCUGAGAGGACGACCAGCCACACUGGAACUGAGACACGGUCCAGACUCCUACGGGAGGCAGCAGUGGGGAAUUUUGGACAAUGGGCGCAAGCCUGAUCCAGCAAUGCCGCGUGCAGGAUGAAGGCCUUCGGGUUGUAAACUUCUUUACUAUGCGACUAACUAGAUUUACGAGAUAAUUCUAUAGAAUGUAGCAUAGCAAAAGACACCGGCUAACUACCG
rnacentral:rRNA from 1 species